AGAGUUUGAUCCUGGCUCAGGAUGAACGCUGGCGGCGUGCCUAACACAUGCAAGUCGAACGGGAAUCUUCGGAUUCUAGUGGCGGACGGGUGAGUAACGCGUAAGAAUCUAACUUCAGGACGGGGACAACAGUUGGAAACGACUGCUAAUACCCGAUAUGCCGCAAGGUGAAACCUAAUUGGCCUGGAGAAGAGCUUGCGUCUGAUUAGCUAGUUGGUGGGGUAAGAGCCUACCAAGGCGACGAUCAGUAGCUGGUCUGAGAGGAUGAGCAGCCACACUGGGACUGAGACACGGCCCAGACUCCUACGGGAGGCAGCAGUGGGGAAUUUUCCGCAAUGGGCGAAAGCCUGACGGAGCAACGCCGCGUGAGGGAGGAAGGUCUUUGGAUUGUAAACCUCUUUUCUCAAGGAAGAAGUUCUGACGGUACUUGAGGAAUCAGCCUCGGCUAACUCCGUGCCAGCAGCCGCGGUAAUACGGGGGAGGCAAGCGUUAUCCGGAAUUAUUGGGCGUAAAGCGUCCGCAGGUGGUCAGCCAAGUCUGCCGUCAAAUCAGGUUGCUUAACGACCUAAAGGCGGUGGAAACUGGCCGACUAGAGAGCAGUAGGGGUAGCAGGAAUUCCCAGUGUAGCGGUGAAAUGCGUAGGGAUUGGGAAGAACAUCGGUGGCGAAAGCGUGCUACUGGGCUGUAUCUGACACUCAGGGACGAAAGCUAGGGGAGCGAAAGGGAUUAGAUACCCCUGUAGUCCUAGCCGUAAACGAUGGAUACUAGGCGUGGCUUGUAUCGACCCGAGCCGUGCCGAAGCUAACGCGUUAAGUAUCCCGCCUGGGGAGUACGCACGCAAGUGUGAAACUCAAAGGAAUUGACGGGGGCCCGCACAAGCGGUGGAGUAUGUGGUUUAAUUCGAUGCAACGCGAAGAACCUUACCAAGACUUGACAUGUCGCGAACCCUGGUGAAAGCUGGGGGUGCCUUCGGGAGCGCGAACACAGGUGGUGCAUGGCUGCCGUCAGCUCGUGUCGUGAGAUGUUGGGUUAAGUCCCGCAACGAGCGCAACCCUCGUUCUUAGUUGCCAGCAUUAAGUUGGGGACUCUAAGGAGACUGCCGGUGACAAACCGGAGGAAGGUGGGGAUGACGUCAAGUCAGCAUGCCCCUUACGUCUUGGGCGACACACGUACUACAAUGGUCGGGACAAAGGGCAGCGAACUCGCGAGAGCCAGCGAAUCCCAGCAAACCCGGCCUCAGUUCAGAUUGCAGGCUGCAACUCGCCUGCAUGAAGGAGGAAUCGCUAGUAAUCGCCGGUCAGCAUACGGCGGUGAAUUCGUUCCCGGGCCUUGUACACACCGCCCGUCACACCAUGGAAGCUGGUCACGCCCGAAGUCAUUACCUCAACCGCAAGGAGGGGGAUGCCUAAGGCAGGGCUAGUGGCUGGGGUGAAU
rnacentral:rRNA from 1 species